rnacentral:rRNA from 1 species
AAAAGCGGAGGAAAAGAAACUAACAAGGAUUCCCCUAGUAACGGCGAGUGAAGAGGGAAAAGCCCAAAUUUGUAAUCUGGCUCUUUCAGAGUCCGAGUUGUAAUUUUAAGAACUGUUUUCCGUGCUGGACCAUGUACAAGUCUGUUGAAAAACAGCAUCAUUGAGGGUGAAAAUCCCGUACAUGAUAUGGACUACCAGUGCAAUGUGAUACAGUCUCUAAGAGUCGAGUUGUUUGGGAAUGCAGCUCAAAGUGGGUGGUAAAUUCCAUCUAAGGCUAAAUAUAGGUGAGAGACCGAUAGCAAACAAGUACCGUGAGGGAAAGAUGAAAAGAACUUUGGAAAGAGAGUUAACAGUACGUGAAAUUGUUAAAAGGGAAACAUUUGAAGUUAGACUUGUUAUUGUUGGUUCAACUUCUUUAUUGAGGUGUAUUCCAAUGGUUAACAGACCAGCAUCAAUUUUUGGGUGUUGGAUAAGGGUUUAGGAAAUGUAGCAACCUUGGUUGUGUUAUAGUCCUUUACUUUGAUACAAUGCUUAGGAUUGAGGAACGCAGUAAGCUUUGUAGCAGAUUUCUUUGGAGAUCUUCUUACUACGGAUGUUGGUGUAAUAGCUUUAAAUGACCCGUCU